rnacentral:rRNA from 1 species
AGUGAAUAGAUACCCCGGUAGUCCACGCCCUAAGCGAUGAAUGCUAGUCGUCGGGGUACUCGUUACUUCGGUGAUGCACUUAAACAGAUUAAGCAUUCCGCCUGGGGAGUACGGUCGCAAGAUUAAAACUCAAAGGAAUAGACGGGGACCCGCACAAGUGGUGGAGCAUGUGGUUUAAUUCGAAGAUACACGAAGAGCCUUACCUGGCCUUGACAUGGUAGGAACCCUUAAGAGAUUAGGGGGUGCUAGCUUGCUAGAACCUACACACAGGUGCUGCACGGCUGUCGUCAGCUCGUGUCGUGAGAUGUUGGGUUAAGUCCCGCAACGAGCGCAACCCUCGUCGUUAGUUGCUAACAGUUCGGCUGAGCACUCUAACGAGACUGCCUUCGCAAGGAGGAGGAAGGUGAGGACGACGUCAAGUCAUCAUGGCCCUUGCGGCCAGGGCUACACACGUGCUACAAUGGGGCGUACAAAGAGCUGCAAUACCGCGAGGCGGAGCCAAUCUCUUAAACGCGUCUCUCAGUUCGGA